rnacentral:rRNA from 1 species
AGAGUUUGAUCCUGCGCUCAGGACGAACGCUGGCGGCGUGCCUAACACAUGCAAGUCGAGCGGAGACAGUGAGUAGCUUGCUACGAACUGUUUUAGCGGCGGACGGGUGAGUAACGCGUGAGCAACCUUUCCCAGACAGGGGAAUAACACACCGAAAGGUGUACUAAUACCGCAUAAGACCACGGUUUCACAUGGAACUGAGGUAAAAGAUUUAUCGGUUUGGGGUGGGCUCGCGUCCGAUUAGGUAGUUGGUGAGGUAACGGCCCACCAAGCCGACGAUCGGUAGCCGACCUGAGAGGGUGAUCGGCCACAUUGGGACUGAGACACGGCCCAAACUCCUACGGGAGGCAGCAGUGGGGAAUAUUGGGCAAUGGGGGGAACCCUGACCCAGCAACGCCGCGUGGAGGAAGAAGGUUUUCGGAUCGUAAACUCCUGUCCUUGGAGACGAGUAGAAGACGGUAUCCAAGGAGGAAGCCCCGGCUAACUACGUGCCAGCAGCCGCGGUAAUACGUAGGGGGCAAGCGUUGUCCGGAAUAAUUGGGCGUAAAGGGCGCGUAGGCGGCUCGGUAAGUCUGGAGUGAAAGUCCUGCUUUUAAGGUGGGAAUUGCUUUGGAUACUGUCGGGCUUGAGUGCAGGAGAGGUUAGUGGAAUUCCCAGUGUAGCGGUGAAAUGCGUAGAGAUUGGGAGGAACACCAGUGGCGAAGGCGACUAACUGGACUGUAACUGACGCUGAGGCGCGAAAGUGUGGGGAGCAAACAGGAUUAGAUACCCUGGUAGUCCACACUGUAAACGAUGAAU